UGUCGCCACUCUGUGCUAUAUAUGUAGCAUACAUAUCGCAAGAGGUGGAGGAGGGCACAGGGUGUGUUAGUUGUGUGUGAGCUUUUUGGGUGAGCUUUCAUGUACACACAACCGCCUGUGUGACCCCCUUUUGCACAGAAUCCAACGCGCCGCCGUCCCCCCAAUUGUAUGGAGAGCUUUUUACCCACCCGCGCGCGCGUCCCGACGCCAACAUGUUGCUUCUCACCAUAAAAUACAAAACGCUGAGACGCUCAGUUGGGAAUCUGCAACGCUCCGAGCAUGUGGUGUGGUUCCGCGUUUCGCGUCCAUCCGAUGAACCAUCAUCACUUCUUCAGCAAAAUCUCCUCCACACGCAAAAAAGUGCCCUAAAAAUCGGUGCCAAAAAUUUGCUGAUGCGAUAAAUUUCCUCCUGACCACAAUCCUUUUUUUAAUUUAAACUUUCCUUUUACAUCUUCGCACGUACGCACGUUUUUUUUUGGGGAAAACCACACUGCACAAUAUUUUUUUCAACCUUAAAUACUACGGAAAAAAGGACAUUUAUUGUUGUAUUAAAAGUGAAUUAAAAACUGCAAUUUUGUGCAUUUUUUUAAAAAGAAUAAUCAACCCUUGAAGACAAUAGUGAAGCUCUUCCGUGCAAGCCAAAUUUUGCAACAAAAAAGGAUUAAUUUUUUAAGCAGUUUCAUUUUAAAAUGAAUUGAAAACUCCUUUUUAAAAAAAAUUGUGCGUGUGUUCGCAGUGAAAUCUAAAACAGGGAUACUUUCAAAUUAAAAAGAAAACUAUUAAGUGUUAAGGAGAGAGGAUUCCAAAAAAAUCAGCAUAAAGUGAUUCUAGGGCACAAAAGUGCAUGAAUCUGAGUUCCUUCGAGAGACAGAGAGGACUUUAUCAUUAAUAUUUUUACUCAAGCAAAAAAAAGAUCCUUAAAUACAAAUUGUGUAGAGUUUUUACCAACAAAAAAAUCCGUGUCUUAAAAGUUAAAAAAAAUGUUUUGUAGGAAUGCUCUUGUAGCCGAGGAUUAGUGUUUGUACUCAAAAAAAAUUGUUGAGUGUUUCAUCCCUCACGUUAGUUAACAAUCUACCACUCCUCCUGUUGAGAGACCCCCCUUUUCUUCCAUUUGGUGCAAAAGAAGAAAAAAAACCAUCAGAAAAACUCCCUUCAGUGCUGCGAAAAUCCCCUUUUUGAAAGAGAUAUCUUGUGUAUAUAUUGUGUAGGCGCAGUUGUAAGGUUUCCUUGUUAACACUUUUUAAUCAAGAAAAUCCCGCGAGGGAUGUAUGAACUGUAAGAACUCUUAAGAAGCACGAAAGAUGCUCAUUGUUGCAAAGUGAACACAAUAUAGGAUUAAUGUGGCUUUAAUUAAUGUUUAACAAACAAAACAAGCACUGCAAAAAAUAACUGUUAAAGGUUCAGAUGUACUUUAUCCACUUUAUGACAAUAAUUUGAUUUAAAAAUAUAAAUAAAACACAAAAAAUAACGACAUUUGCUCAAAAAAAAUGUGCAGGAAAUACUAAAAGAAAAGUGAAAUAUUUGUGCAAAGUGACAAGGAGUAGGUGUGAAAAUCAAAAGAAAAACCAACAUCCACCAGAUUGACAAUAAUACGCCAAAAAGAAAAAAAGAUUGAGGUGAAAAAAAGGGUUUUUAUUAAACUAAAGAAAAAGGCGGUAAAUUUGAACACCGAGUCUGUGCAGUCUUCCGGGUGUGCAAAGUGAGAGAGAACUUUUUUAACGCCACACAUAGAUUUAUUCUUUGAGAUAGCAUUUUAUCACGUGUGCCAAUGGAUCCAGACGGAGCUAUGAUACGCCAGGAGGUGUCAACGGGGGCGAAAAAGAGACCACCGAAGCUGAAAAACACCGAUCGCACAAUUUCAAUAACAAUCGAGAACUACAAACCACCAGCACCGGUCAUUGUGGACGAUGGCAUGAUCCUCGAGGAGAUUGACAACCUACCACCGCAUCCAUCAUCAGCACCACUAGAUGACUACAACCAGCCAAAUAUUUUCUACGUCGACGGAGGAAGUACGGGCGCCAUUAGUUACGACGACUACUCACACGGCCUGUAUGCAGCACGAAGGGCUAGCUUUCGCAGAUCCGAUACCCUCGAUGUGAGCGCUCCGGGAUUGCUGCAGAUGCGAAAGACACGAUCUUUCCACACGAAUGAACCACCAACGGUUGAGGAUGUCCUGAUGGCGCGUCGAACUAGCAGCAGUGUACGAAACUCACUGCUAUAUCCUAAUGAAUUAGCAGUUGCACCCUUAGCUACUCCGGAACACUCCCCCUCAUCAGAUCGUCGCAACUGCUCAAUGCAUCGCUCCUUCAAUGAUGCUCAAAAGCAGAGGAUCAUGAGUCGUAGGGAUGCCAUGAAGUGUCACUCCUUCAGCGAGAACAUCUACCCCGAUGACUCAGAAGAGCGACGAACAGAUGUGAAAAAAUUCAGCUCAGCCAAUGUUUCCCUAGAAAAUGAACUAUUCCGAUCACGAAGCAAUAGUAGAACCCAUAGUCAGCAGGGUGAGGAAACAGUGGAUAUCCGUGUGGAGUACAGUCCACGUCCUGCCCGUCCUGCCGUUCUCAAGCGCCAAAUGACAACGGUGCACUCCCCCGAGCCCGCCCACGCUCUCAGUAGAUCCUCCCGUACGGCAAAAAGUUUCUACCUAUCGCCAGCAUCAUACGAUGAACUACGUUCAGUUUCCCCGCGAAGAUCACCAGCAGACGCAAGGAAGGUCUACAGUUCGAGUAUGAAGUACAAAAUGGACAAGGAGAAUGCAGGUUUACUGGCACCUGGUGGUGCCAAAAAAUCCAAGAGUUUCAUUGCUGACGCCUUACCCGUGCCACGGGCCUUUGAACUAGAGCGAAACAUAUCACCCUACGGCUGGGAUCGUGGCAAACUCUUUCCCACCGAUGAAAUUACAAAAGUACAGCGAAGUCCACGGCUGACGCAAAGUAUAAAACUCCCAGAAACGCGAUCAUCGUAUGAGAGUCGACGUAGUUCCCUUGGGUUCGAUACAAUAGGUGAUGUUGACUACGACGCUGUACUACGGUCCUACAGGCAGAGUCAUCGAACACGACGGAAGAGUAGCACGGCGUCGCGGAGUAAAUCGAAACGCACGACGGACUUUGAUGAAAGUGACGAAAGUAUUCGGAAACGCAAGAAAAUUGUUUGUAUUGUAACGACGGUGUUUGUAAGCCUAGUUUUUGCAACGGUUUUCGUGGUUAUUGUCUCACUAGCACACUCAAGUAGUUCAACGCAAACGCACACCAAAUCACAGAAGUUCUAUCCUGUAACCAGAGGGCUGCCGCUGCACUAUAAUGUUCGGCAGGAGAAUGAGCGCCUCAUGCAGGAAUCCCUGAAUAGGGCAAAGUUUGCCAAAAAUUUCACCGAUUCUGCUGCUUUAACUGCACAAGAAGAAAUUCCAUAACGAUGCUUUGAAUUCUUCCCUCGGCAUCCGCAUCUUCAUCCAGCACCGUAUGGGCUGUGGGUGCUGCUGUUGCUGCUCUGCACGGAGGGAAGUGAUGUGGGGUAUUUUGGCAAAAAAUCACCACACGGUAGCUGAUGAGGUCUUCCACGUGGGACAAUCUCGUGUGACCACCCUCCUCCUCAGGAAGGACAGGAUUUUUUUUUCUUUUGAUUUUCAGAGAGAGGGUGGAAGUCUGUUUUUGGCGCCCACGCAUCUCCUUCGCCGCACACGAAGACGACACACCUUUCUGCAAGGAGGGUGUGGGUUGCUAUGUACACAGAGAGGAAGACUCUGUCAUCAAAGAGAAUUUCCAUUGUAGGUAGAGAAAAUGCAUUUUAAGCCGUCUCCCCCGCCGCAACAAUGCAAAAUGAGAGAUAACUUAUGCCGAGAGCACAAUAGUUGGAGGGUUUAUCAAUUUACUAUUUAUGUGUGUAUUACCUCUCCUUUAUACAUAGUUUAAAGGCCCCAAAGGGGGUUACAACGCAAAGGGUAAUAUGAAAUUGAAAUUUCCGCUCAAUUUAGGAUUUAUAAUUAAUUUCUAAAUGCAAAAUUAAAUGAUUGACUAGAUAGAAAUUCAUUUUUAAUUGAUUUUAGAGAAAUUAAUCAUUAAAUAAUAUCUUUGAUGUUAGGAAAUAUAAACAAAACGAACAAAACAAUUUAAUUUACUAGGUAUAAAUUAAAUUGUUUUGUUAAUUUUUUUCAAAGCAAAAUGGUGGUAAAAUAAUUUGAAAUCAAUAUUUUUGUGUUCUUUGGGCCUUAUUCAGCGACCAAGAAACCCUUGAAAUUCGCUUGAAAUCUUGAAAUUUCAGUACAAAAUUCAAAGAUUUCAAGGGUUUCUUGGUCGCUGAAUUAGGCCGUUUAUUCCAUAAAAAACGAAAGGAUCAAUUACAUUUUAUUUAUUUGAUAGAAAUCAAUGUUGUUUUGAAUGUAUCAGGAUUAUUCAGUUAGUGAUACAUACGAAUGAAUCGAUUACUGAUCAUUUAUUUUAGUUAUUGAAUUGAAAACAAAAGAAACAAAGUAAUAAAUGAUUGAAUGAAUAAGUAACUUAACGAUUCAUUAAAAUCAAUCCAAUCUAUCAAUUUUUGGGUCAAAUCGUUGAAUGUUUCAAUCAUUGACUGAAUCGUUGAAUGUUUCAAUCAUUCAUUGACUGAAUCUUUGAAUGUUUCAAUCAUUGAUUGAAUCUUAUGUUUUUUUUUAAGUUUAUUUUCUGUUUUUCAUUCUAACUUUUCUCUGCUUUUAAAUUUUAUUUUUAGUUAUUUUAACACUCUGUAUUCUAACCUAAAAUAUCUAUAUUUUUUUUUAAAUCCUUCAUUAAAGAUUCAAUUCAAAGAUCUCUUCAUUUUAAAGUACAACAUGGCCUUUUUCAAAGCUUUUAAAGCACAUAAGUUUUGAAAAAAAUAUUCCCCAAACUCAUUACACUGAAAUAAUAAUUUGAUAAACCCCUCAAGCUUUCUUCCAAAAAAAAAUGAGAUUUAAAAAAAAUGAAAGGAGAUCGCGAAUCUUUAAAAAAUCGCUUUGUAGGCCUAUGCCAAUGAAUAUUUUGUACGGUUGUAAUAACAAUAAAUAGAACACACACACGUUAGCUUUUAAAACAAAGGUGAAAAAAAGAAAAUUUUAAUCUUAGAAGUGUGCAAAAAGAAAAGCUAAAAAAAAAGCGAGUUGUUGGACAUUGGAAAAUAAGUGUGAUAUGAAGAGAACCAAGAAGAGGAAAAAGAAAGUUGCUAGAACUUUGUAUUUGUGUUAUGUUUUUCUGUUUCGGAUGUUAUAUAAAAAUAAUAUAUAUUUCUGUGAGUGUUUUAGAAGAGAGGAAAAAAGCUUCCAAUUCCUUGAAGAGACCCUGAAAGAAAUUGCUGUGAACGAGAGAAAAUUUCUCUUUCAUGCGCAUUUUCUCCCAAUAUAAUACCUACGUGAAAUCUGCAAUAAUUUGUUGAAAUUCAAUCCGCCCUGAAAUUUUCUCUCCUUUCGUUGUAAAACAAUAAAAUAAAAAAAAGAAUAUUUUUUAAGAAAAAUCAUGCCAACUGCAAGAAAAUAUUACAAGCCAGUCAGUGAAAAAAAACGGGGAAGCUUUUAAUGGGGCUUCCUGGCAGGAAAAGCUUUAAUAUUUUGAGCAGCUAUAAAUCAAUUUGUAAAGUGGGUUAUGUCCUUAAUUGAUUACCAAUAAGUACUUCAUAUCCUAAAUGGUGGUUAUUGGAACAAUGAAUCAGUAUUAAAUCCCCAGGAUUCAAUCGACAGAGCAAAGUGGUCCAGGCUGAAUAAUUAAUUUAUUGGGUGAAUAGGAUUGAAGUGUCUCUUUUAGGAGGAUCUUUUGUGAAUUAUUUCAUUGAAUUUCUCUCAGGAUUUUCAAUUUUAUUCUUGAUUUUAUUACUUUGAAAGCUUCUAAAAAAAUAUUUAUUAAAAAUUCAAAGAUGGCAAUACGUUAGAUUUUUCAAGGAAAAACUAAGGUUAUGUUCAUCAUGUGAAAGUUUUGUAGCCAUUUUGAUUUUUUCAUAUUAAUAACCUAAGAUUGUAGAAAUAAAAUGGAAAAUGGAUAGAAAAAUAUCUCGUAUUUACUUAGAAAUCUUUGUUUCAUAUCUUUUACUAAAUUUUAUAGGUAAGAUAAUCAAUGAAAUCAUUUACAAUUGAGGUUAAGUUAUUUAGAAAGUGGUUCAAUUGUACUUUCUACCUGAAUAAAUUUUAAUUCAGAUUCCAUUUUCUUUGUUUUUUUUUCUUGACUAAAACGUCAAGUCAAUUUCUCUUCUAUCUUUAAAUAUUUCCUGAAAUCUCUUUGAAUUUUCUUCUUCAAUCUCUGAUUUUUCAUUUUCUUAAGUUUUUUAUAACAUUUUAUUAUUAUUUUAUGAAUUCUCUCCAUAUUCCUCAUAAUUCGCAAAAAAAAGAAUUAUCUGGCAUUUCAGAAAGAUUGUAUCGUUAUUAAACGUCUAUAUUUCAACAAAAAAGGGACGCCAUGUUGUACCCCAACGCCUCCAUUUUAUCUUAUUCAUCUCCUAACCUAAAAAAAACUUAACCCUCAAAUGGACAUUUCAUUCCAAAUCACCCAAUAAAUGAACUAAAUUGGCUUUUUCACACCAAAAUCCAACACAAUUAAACUUAUAGAGUGAACAAUGUACGCUGUAUUUAGUGAAUUGUAAAUAAAAUUAGUUAAAAUGGUUAAAAUUGAGGGUGAUUAGAAGAGAAAAAAAAGAAAAUGAAUCGAAUGUCGAAAGGUACGCAGCCUUUCUAUUGACACGAUGUACAGAAAUACUUUGCAAAGAAAAAUCGAAAAUAAAUAGAAAAUGGUAUCAAAAAAAAACUCCUCAAACGGGUAAAAGAAAUUUUCAUAGAUGAAUCCACAUCUCAAUUAAUUCUUGUCAAUUUUAUUCUCUAUUUUUUUUACACUAAAUACAACAAAUGAAAAUCUCAUAGAAAAGACAAAAAAAAUUUCUUUAAUUUUCUUGCUUUAAAAUCUCACUGGUAGCCUUUGAAAUCAAUAAAAAAAUCAAGAAUUUGCAUUAGGAAAAUAUUCUUCACUAAAUUAGAAUUUUUAAAAGAAGAAAAUCAGAGAAAAAAAUGAAAAAGUUUUAAGUCACUAAAUAGAAACGGUUUCUUAAUGUUAACCCAUCAAUUUAAGCUGUGUAAUGAUGAUGAAAAAAAUUGUUGUAUAUUUUCUGUAUUAAAGAUGGCUGCUUUAGCGUGCGACGUAUUUAUUGCCCACAGAGCCAAAAAAAGAAAAAGAAAUUAAAUUUAAAAGAAAAGUGUUUUGAGAUAAAUUCCUCAUCAAUUUGAAACGCUUAAAAAUCAACAGAUACGAGAUUUUAGGAAAUAAAAAAAAAUUGUUGACAUUUUUGAUUGAAUGACAAAUCUUCCUGACACUUGUCCCUAACAGCUGUCACACAGUUGUCAACAGGUUAUGUCACCUAACAACCGCGUGUAAAUUGUGAAAGAAUGAAUACUAUUUCAGUGUUUAUGUACAAAAUGAAAGAAAAAAAACAAUAUCACUAAAAAAGAAAAAUCAAAACCCAUUUCAAAAUGAAAUAAAACUUGUAAUCACAUUUAAAUGAAAACUAAUCUCCAAGAAAAAUCAUAAAAUAGCAACAAAAUAUUUAAUUACACACAUUAUUAUACAUAAAAUUAAUAAUCCGACGAAAAGUAUUUAGAGAGAAAAAAAAAUGAAAUCAUAACAUUAGAAAUCCGACAAGCUUUGAAAGUUCUAAAAAAAUCAAUUUUUACCUAAGCCAUUGUACAUAGGAAAUAGUGUCAAGAAAAGCAUUUAUAUAAAAAAAAAUAUUAGAAAUAUUAAUCAACAUUUUGAUGCAAGAAAAGCUCUUCAGAGCUUUCAUGAAAAAAUCAUGAAAUUUUCAGCAGAAAAGAAUCCGAAAUAAAAUUUAAUAAAUCUCUGAAUAAAAAGUCAUCAAAUAAGGUUAUUUAUAUAGACUUCAUUUGAGCUUUUCAAAGGAAGGAAAAAAUGCUUAAGAAAGAAGUAAAUAAAAAAAAAGAACUGAGAAUUUUGUCAAAAUGUUAAGUUUUUGAGGUUUCUAUUCCGUUUAGAAGUUCAGUAAACUCCGUUUAAAGCAAUCUUUCAAUUUCUUGUUGACAUUUUAAUAAACAAGAAGAAGAAUUAUAAGUUUCAGGGUCGAAAGCUAUGGAAAUAAAUUAUUUUUUAUCAUUUUUUUUGCUAUAAUUACUGUCUUUCUUUAAUUCUUUAAGACUUUAUUUUAACAAACCUUCUUAACAUUUUGGCUCAUUGUCAACAAUUUGAUAAAACAUUCAAAAUGGUGAAAAAGAAAAACAUGGCGCGUGAAAUACAAUGAAGAAGAACAACAACAAAAUGGAAUUGAAUGUGUUUUUAGAGAACCCACGAGUAGAUUUAUUGAAAUAAAUUUAAAUUUAAAACUUAAAUAUAAAAAUUAAAAAAGAAAAUUGAACGAGAGGUGAGAAAUCAAGUAAAAAAAAACGAUGUUUAGUGACCAUUUUACAGGGUUAAUGACUACUUAAAAAAAUGCUAAAUGUACAUUCACAAAAUAAAUGAAAGAGGUAAAAUAUCGAGGAAAAAAACGCAGAAAAUUAGGAAAAAUUAUAGUCAAGAAGUAAAUCAUUUUGUGUAAAUAAUCGUGAAUUUGUCAAAAAAAAAGAAAUUAUUGUUCCCUAUGGAGAUGACACCCUGUGAAGAAAAAUCCUUGUGAAGAAACACAAAGAAUUAUCAUCUUUAAAAGACAAAAAAAGCUGGCGAGAAGAAUUUAAAAGCAACGCCGGAAGCGAAAGCGUUUUGUGGGAGUGAAGAAAAAAAGAAGAAAAUACUCUAGAAAAUUUUGAGAAAAAAAUGACAUUAUAUGAAUUAAUCGAAUAUACGUAUGUUGUUGAUGAAAAAAAAAAUAUUGAAAAAAAAACAAGAAAAAAUGAAGUGGAAGAAAGAAAAUAAAUAAUAUUCCAUGGUUAAA